rnacentral:rRNA from 1 species
UACGUAGGGUGCAAGCGUUAUCCGGAAUUAUUGGGCGUAAAGAGCUCGUAGGCGGUCUGUCGCGUCUGCUGUGAAAACUGGAGGCUCAACCUCCAGCCUGCAGUGGGUACGGGCAGACUAGAGUGCGGUAGGGGAGAUUGGAAUUCCUGGUGUAGCGGUGGAAUGCGCAGAUAUCAGGAGGAACACCGAUGGCGAAGGCGGUUCUCUGGGCCUUACCUGACGCUGAGGAGCGAAAGCGUGGGGAGCGAACAGG